rnacentral:lncRNA from 1 species
CAUGUUCGUUGCGGUGUCAAGCCUGGUGGAGGAAAAGCACUUCGUCGUAACGGAAAGCCGUGACCUGGAAGCCGUUGCCCUCAUGCUGCCCCACGUUAGUGACAAGUCCGUGCUUGUGAAGACUUCACCAAGCGCCCUCAGAUCUCCAAUGUGGCAGCAGAUAGCGCAGCAGCACCAAGGCCAAUUCUUCAUCCAUCUUCUGAACAUAAACUUUGUA